GACGAACGCUGGCGGCGUGCUUAACACAUGCAAGUCGAACGGAAAGGCCCGGCUUUUGUGGGGUGCUCGAGUUGCGAACGGGUGAGUAACACGUGGGUAACCUGCCCCUGACUGUGGGAUAACUUCAGGAAACUGGGGCUAAUAGCGGCUAGGAGCUCCUGCUGCAUGGUGGGGGUUGGAAGGUUUCGGCGGUUGGUGAUGGAAUCGCGGCCUAUCAGCUUGUUCGUUGGGUAGUGUGUUAGCAAGGCUUUGACCCGUGGCCUGCCUGCGCGGGUCACCGGACAAGUUGGGACUGGGAUACGACCCAGACUCGAACGGGAGGCGAGAGUGGAGAAUAUUGCACAAUGGGCUGAAGCAUAACCUAGCAACGCCGCGUGCGGGAUGACGGCAUUCGGUUUGUGAUCCAAUUUCGCCUGUGCCGAAGUGAGAAUGACGGUAAUGGGUAAAGAAGCACCGGCUAACUACGUG
rnacentral:rRNA from 1 species